rnacentral:rRNA from 1 species
CAGUCGCCGCGGUAAUACGGAGGGAGCUAGCGUUGUUCGGAAUUACUGGGCGUAAAGCGCACGUAGGCGGCUACUCAAGUCGGGGGUGAAAGCCCGGGGCUCAACCCCGGAACUGCCCUCGAAACUAGGUAGCUAGAAUCUUGGAGAGGUCAGUGGAAUUCCGAGUGUAGAGGUGAAAUGCGUAGAUAUCAGGAGGAACACCGGUGGCGAAGGCGGCUUCCUGGACGAUUCCUGACUCUGAAACACGAAAGCCAGGGGAGCGAAUGGGAUUAGAUACCCCCGUAGUCCCUGUCUCUUAUAA